rnacentral:rRNA from 1 species
GAAGCCGCGAGGCAGAGCAAAUCUCAAAAAGACCGUCCCAGUUCGGAUUGCAGGCUGCAACCCGCCUGCAUGAAGUUGGAAUCGCUAGUAAUCGCGGAUCAGCAUGCCGCGGUGAAUACGUUCCCGGGCCUUGUACACACCGCCCGUCACACCAUGAGAGUCGGGAACACCCGAAGUCCGUAGUCUGACCGCAAGGGGACGCGGCCGAAGGUGGGUUCGAUAAUUGGGGUGAAGUCGUAACAAGGUAGC